CUCUUUCUUGCUUUGCCUCAUAAUUUUGGACUUACCUAGUAGCUUCUUCUUCUUUUUUUUUUUUUUCCUUUUUCACAUCAGAUGGGAAAUGUGCCAACGUCACAACAAGGUUUGAGGGAGGCACAUCUCAUGCUCGGACAUGAACACCCGAUCAUCAUGCUUAUGAACUACAAAAGGAUCUCCAGUAUGGGCUCACGGCAGGUAAUUGUUUUGAGACUUAUGUCUGAAAUGUUUGUAUCCCACCCAAAUAUUUAAUUGUUAACUUUGAUAGGUGUAGAAUUCUAGGCUAGAAAUAAUUUUUUUCUACAGAAUUCUAAAGUCAUUGUUACAUUAUCUUUUUGCUUCUACUGGGGCUGUUGAGAAAUUCACAGUCAUUUUGGUAUUUUGAGCAAUGAUUUUUACCUUUUUCUGAAAAGUUUUAAAAUUCCCUCUUUUAUGUCUAUUGUUCUGAAAGUUUAAGAUGAUGGAACUUAGUGUGAGUUUAUUUUUAUCUAUUGUACUGAAUAUUUACUGUACCUUUUAAGUCUAGAAACUCAUGCCCUUCAGUACUGAUAAAUUUCUUGGAUUAUUUCUUGUGUCUUUUUUCUUCUAUUUUUCAAGUUCUUUUUCUGAAAUUUUAGUUACUCAGUUGAUGAACUCCUAGAAUGAUUUUCUAUAUUUCUUAUCUUUUAUAUCAUAUCUUCCAUCUUUUUGAUUUUUCAUUCUACUUUCUAAGAGAUUUCCCUAAAUUUAUCUUCUAACUAUUUGACUGAAAUUUUCAUUCUGGCUGUCAAAUUUGAAUUUAUAAUUACUAUCUUGUUUUACAAUUGUUUUCCUUUUGCCAGAAUAUUGUUUUUAUUUAAUAAAUUACAAUAACUUCUCCUAUUUGUCUGAGGAUGUUGAUGAUAGUUUCCUUUUGAAGUUUUUAUUUUCCUGCAGAGUUUUCUAUAAGUUGCUUUUUUUUCCCCCAUAAUAUUUUGGCCUUUACAGUUGGCCCUUGAAUAACAUGAAUUUGAACUGCCUGAGUCUGCUAAUAUGUGGAUUAUCUUCUGCUUCUGCACCCUGAGACAGCAAGACCAACCCUUCCUCUUGCUUCUUUUCCUUAGCCUAUUCAACGUGAAGAUGACUAAGGUGUCUGCUGGAAGCGAGGGAGUCAGCCAUGCAAGUAUCUGGAGGACAAACAUCCCAGUCAGAGGGUUCAGCAAAUGCAAGAUCCCUGAUGUUGGAAUGAGGUUGGUAUAUUCAAGAAACAGAGAGAAAGCCAGUGUGGACUUCUCCAUGUCAGAAAAGAGAGAGAGGAAGGAAAUAAGAGAUGUGGUCAGAGUGGUGAGCUAGAACUGAGCCAUAAAGGGGUUUAUAGACAAGAUGAGAAAACUGGAUCUUAUUCUAAGUUAAGUGGAAGUCUUUGGAGGACUUGGAGUGGGGAAAUGACAUGAUCUAAUUUACCCUUGCAAAAUAUCCCUCUGAAUACUAUGUCGAGAAUUUACUGGGUGGAUGUUAGGGAGGGCGGUGACAUGGAAGUAAAAAGCCAAGUGGGUAGGUGUAUUCAUUGGGAUGGGCUGAGUAAUUCCAAAGGAACAAUGUUCCAUGUUUUGCAGGUCUGUUCCACAUUAUCUUCACUCUAGGACCCAAGCUGAUAAAGCAGCUCCCUCUGGAGCUAUUGAUGGUCUCAUGGAAGAGACAAAAAAAGAUCACAGUGAAUCACAUUCUGCUUCUGAACUCUUCUGCCUGGAAGUGACAAACAUCAUUUCCAUCACAUUUCACUGACCAAAGCAAGUCAUGAGUGUAAGCCUAGUAUCAGUGGGGUGGGGAAGGAGAAGCAAAUUAUUGGAAACCACAGGAGGUUAUUGCAAUAAUAAGGCAAAAAUGAAGCCAGUGGCUGGGUGCAGUGGCUCAUGCCUGUAAUCUUAGCACUUUGGGAGGCCAAGGCAGGUGGAUCACUUGAGCUUAGGAGUUCAAGACCAGCCUGGGCAACAUGGUGAAACCCUGUCUCUACAAAAAAUAAAAAAAAAAUUAGCCAGGCAUGGUGGCAUACACCUGUAGUCCCAGCUACUUGCGGGGCUGAGGCAGGAGCAUCACUUGAACCCAGGAGCUCAAGGCUGCAGUGAGCUGUGAUCUUACCACUGCACUCUAGCCUGGGUGACAGAGUAAGACCUUGUCUCAAUAAAAAAUAAUGAAGCUGGCUUGGUCUAGAGUGGAAACAGUUGAGGUGGUAAAAGGACUUGCUGCUUGAAUAAAUGUGGGGUAUGAGAAACGGAAGAGUUAAGACGGACUCCAGGGUUUUGGUCUGAACACCUUGGUGAAGGAUUUGUACCACUUGCUGAGUUGUAGAAGUCUGAGGGAGGUGCAGGGUUAAGGGGAAAAAUUAGGAAUUCCAUUUUGGACAUUUCUAAUAAGGGAAACAAUGGAUUUAAAGAUAAAAUGUGGGAGUCCUCAGCAUGUAGACUGACUUUGAAGCCAUGGACUGGAUGAGAUCACAUGGAGAAUGAGAGCAGAGAGAGGAAACAAGAAGGCUGAAAGUGAGCCUGGGGUCUGUCAGUCUAUAUAGGUCAGGAGGAAGAGGGGAAUCCAGAGAGGGAGAGAUGGAAGAGACAGAUUGGGAAGAGGGGAAAAAAGAAUGUGGGACUGCCUAGAAACCCAGUAAAAAAAAAGUGUUUCAUGAAAAGAAGGAUCAACAGUGUCAGUUGCUGCUAUUAAGUAAGAUGAGGAUUAAAAUCCAUUGUUGGACUUGGUCAGAUGCAGGCACUAGUGACCUUGACAGGCCAUUGGUGACUUUGUUACAUGGUGGGGGUAAAAGUCUGAUUGAAAUGGGUUGAGAAGAGCCCGAAUGUUCUUCUGAUUCCAAAGUCAAUGCCUACCUUGUUUUGCUAAGCUGCAUAGAAAGUUCUCGUGUGCAGGAUGCAGUCACUGAAAAUGUUGUAGAACUGAAGAAUUUGUACCUCAUUCUUGGAACCACUCAACCUGGAAGAACAACUCCCUACAAACGUGAAGGCAACUACCUGAGCAUAACUGGUUCACUGCCUUUUCUUCUGGGAGUGUGUUGAGUAAAAUUUGAACAGAAAUAUCUGUUUUUCCAUCCAGGCUCUAGGCAAAGUCUCCUUCAAUGAUGGGGCAUGGUACAAAUUUGUUAGCUCCCUUAACUAUGAAGACACAAGAAAAGGUUGGAAAUUAGGAUUAGGAAAAAUAGAAGCUUAUUGUUUACUGCCCAGCUUCAAGUACGGGAAAUAAAACCUUUUUCCAAGAGCAAUACAUUGGAUUAAAUGAAGUAAUUUUACUUCAGAAUGAUACUCCAAGGGGCUUUCCCAAGUAGUAAAACAGACAGCAAAAGCUCUGAAAUAAAGUGAGAGAAAGGUGGGAAAUGGAAAAGAAAAUAAACAUGCAUCUAUUACUGGGUGCAUUUUUGUUUGGCCUGUAGGGCAUUCCUGCUGACAGCCAUUUCUGGCUGUGUAUGAGAUAUGCCAUGGAGACAUGGGAGGACCAGAUGGCACUUCUGAGCCUCACCCUCAGGUACUGAUUGUAUCCAAAAUAAGCCAGGUUGGUAAGGCCAGGAAAACAAGACUUGGGGGAUAUUUUCUAUAAACUGGAAAGACUUCCAACAUCUUUCAAAGAUGGUUAUGGUUCUUGUCUCAUAAUCCUGUGCUCCCAGGCAAUCGCAGUAUUCCAAAUAUUUAAUAACAAGUAAAGAAAAGGGCUUGAGUAAUUG
rnacentral:lncRNA from 1 species